rnacentral:rRNA from 1 species
CAGUCGCCGCGGUAAUACGAAGGGGGCUAGCGUUGCUCGGAAUGACUGGGCGUAAAGGGCGCGUAGGCGGCGAUCAAAGUCAGGCGUGAAAUUCCUGGGCUCAACCUGGGGGCUGCGUUUGAUACUUGGUUGCUAGAGUGAGGAAGAGGGUCGUGGAAUUCCCAGUGUAGAGGUGAAAUUCGUAGAUAUUGGGAAGAACACCGGUGGCGAAGGCGGCGACCUGGUCCUUGACUGACGCUGAGGUGCGAAAGCGUGGGGAGCAAACAGGAUUAGAUACCCCCGUAGUCCCUGUCUCUUAUAC